GAUGAACGCUGGCGGCGUGCCUAAUACAUGCCAGUCGAGCGAACAGACGAGGAGCUUGCUCCUCUGACGUUAGCGGCGGACGGGUGAGUAACACGUGGAUAACCUACCUAUAAGACUGGGAUAACUUCGGGAAACCGGAGCUAAUACCGGAUAAUAUAUUGAACCGCAUGGUUCAAUAGUGAAAGACGGUUUUGCUGUCACUUAUAGAUGGAUCCGCGCCGCAUUAGCUAGUUGGUAAGGUAACGGCUUACCAAGGCAACGAUGCGUAGCCGACCUGGAAGGGUGAUCGGCCACACUGGAACUGAGACACGCUCCAGACUCCUACGGGAGGCAGCAGUAGGGAAUCUUCCGCAAUGGGCGAAAGCAUGACGGAGCAACGCCGCGUGAGUGAUGAAGGUCUUCGGAUCGUAAAACUCUGUUAUUAGGGAAGAACAAAUGUGUAAGUAACUAUGCACGUCUUGACGGUACCUAAUCAGAAAGCCACGGCUAACUACGUG
rnacentral:rRNA from 1 species